rnacentral:rRNA from 1 species
UCUAGGGUUCAACUUCAAAGUAUAAAAUUAAAAUUAAAAAUUAAAUUAUAUUUAUAAAUUAUAACUAAAAAAUAGAUUAAGACUUAGAACAGGGG